UCUACACACUGCAUCUAAUACAGUCAACAUCUACACACUGCAUCUAAUACAGUCAACAUCUACACACUGCGUCUAUCUAUACAGUCAAUAUCUACACACUGUGCCUAUCCAUUCAGUCAAAAUCUACACACUGUGUCUAUCCAGUCAAAAUCUACACGCUGUGUCCACAUAUCUUGUCAACAUCUACACACUGUCUUUUCAAUACACAGAGUAAAUAUAUUUAUCCAAUAUUUUUAAGAUACUCUACAUAUUUUAAACAAAUACAUUAAAAUCUUAAACGACUGCGUGAGUGAGUGUGUGUGUGUGUGUGUUUAUUUGUGUAUGUUUGCGUUUACGUGUUUGACUGUGAAUGCGUGGAAGCUUUGCGUUCGUAUACGUACGCGUGUAUGUGCGCGCGCGCGCAGAUCUGCGUGCAUGCGUGCGUCUACAUCCACGUGCAUGCGCAGAGGGAGUAUCAGCGUGGACUAUUUGAUGGCAGAGAGCCAAACAUUUGACCUCUAAGAGUCUCAAUGUUUCCCAUCAAAUGUCAUUGGCAUUUCGCUGACAUUUCAGGUCUGAGUCGCUAAUCGAUGCCAGACCAACUUAUAAAUGGUGGAAAACCAAAAAAAAUCAAUAGACUCAGAGAAUCCGAGUAAAAUGUCACACUUGAUUCUCUUUCAAGCGAAUUGGCGAAUAGAAAGGAUAGAAUCAUUUGCGUUACGUCAUCGCACUAUUUCUCCAUUUAAAAUGACUUUGGUCGGCCUGAGGUUAUAGCAGAAAACAUUUGCCCAAGGUACCACGCAGUAGGAAUGAACCUAGAACCAUAUGGUUGAGAAGCAAACUUCUUAUCACACUCCCUCACUUACAAAGAAAAGGCAACUGCGACUUCGACGUUUCGGUUUAUUUACCUUCAUCAGACUGUGUAACCCGAUACACUCUGAAGUCAUCGUCUACUUCUCCCUUGUAAAAAUCUAAUAAAUAUGUUAAACUAGUAAAAUAAGCAUUGAGUUAUCUUUCGGUCUAAUAGUACGUUACUUUUGUCCAGACCAUAAAAACAAACGUUAAUAUAGCCGUGGGUUUAAAAUGGUGAGCUGACAGAAUCGUUAGCACGCCGGGUUAAAUGCUUAUCGGGAUUUCGUCUAUCUUAAAGAUGUCCUUGCUUGUCCUCUCUAUGUUUAGCCCCCUGUGGGCAAUAAGGAAAUAAGAAACGUUAGCACGCCGGGCGAAAUGCUUAGUGGUAUUUCGUCUGUCUUUACAUUCUGAGUUCAAAUUCCGCCGGGGUAGACUUCGCUUUCAUCCAUUUGGGAUCGAUGAAUUAAGUACCAGUGAAACACUGGGGUCGAUGUAAUCGAUUAGGCCCCCAUCUCAUUUCAAGGCUUUGUGCCUUUAGUAGAAAGGAUUAUUAGCGAACUGGCAGAAC